UUGAUCCUGCUGGAGGCUACUGCUUUUGGAGUUCGAUUAAGACAUGCAAGUCUAUCCCAGGAGUGUUCUUGGGAGGCGUAAGGCUUAGUAACGCGUAGACAACCUGACCUAUAGAGAAGGAUAACCAGGGGAAACUCUGGAUAAUACUUCAUAAAAAACUCGUGCUGGAACUCGCCUUGUUUUUGAAAGGCCAAAAGACUUUCCUUGAGGUCCGCUAUAGGAUGGGUCUGCGUCCGAUUAGGCUGUUGGUAGGGUAACGGCCUACCAAACCGACGAUCGGUAAGGGCACUGAGAGGUGGAGCCCUAAGAAGGACACUGAGACAAGGGUCCUAGCCCUACGGGGUGCAGCAGUUACGAAAUCUCUACAAUGCGCGCAAGCGUGAUAGGGGAACUCCAAGUGUCUCCUCUGGAGACUGUGGUAAAGUGUAGACAGCUUUGCUAGAAAGGGGUGGGCAAGACCGGUGCCAGCAGCCGCGGUAAUCCCGGCGCCCCAAGUGGUAGCCAUUUUUAUUGGGCCUAAAGCAUCCGUAGCCGGAUAUGUAAGUUCUCGGUGAAACUGACCAGCCUAACUGAUCAGCGUGCCGAGAAUACUGCAUGUCUUGGGACCGGGAGGGGCACGAGGUACGCCUGGUGUAGGGGUAAUAUCCUAUAAUCCCAGGUUGACCACCGGUGGCGAAGGCGUCGUGCUGGAACGGGUCCGACGGUGAGGGAUUAAAGCCAGGGUAGCGAAACGGAUUAGAUACCCGUGUAGUCCUGGCCGUAAACGCUGUUCGUUAGGUGUUACGCAUUCUUCGUGGAUGUGUAGUGCCGUAGGGAAGCCGUUAAACGAACCGCCUGGGGAGUACGGUCGCAAGGCUGAAACUUAUAGGAAUUGGCGGGGGAGCACAACCAGGGGUGAAGCUUGCGGUUUAAUUGGAUUCAACGCCGGAAAUCUCACCUGCGGCGACAGCAUAAUGAAGGGCAGUCUGAAGGGCUUGCCUGAAGCGCUGAGAGGAGGUGCAUGGCCACCGUCAGUUUGUGCUGUGAAGUGCCCGCUUAAGUGCGGAAACAAACGAGACCCACAUUCCUAUUUGCUAGUUUUCCCUCCGGGGAAGGCGCACAAUAUGAAGACUGCAGAGGUUGACUCUGAGGAAGGUGUGGGCUACGGUAGGUCAGUAUGCCCCAAAUCCGCAGGGCUACACGCGAGCUGCAAUGAUUGGGACAACGGGAUGCUACCCCGAAAGGGGAUGCAAAUCUCUAAAACCCAAUCCUAGUUUGGAUUGAGGGUUGUAACUCACCCUCAUGAAACCGGAAUCCCUAGUAACCGUGACCCAUACAUUCGCGGUGAAUACGUCCCUGCUCCUUGCACACACCGCCCGUCAAAUCACUCGAGUUGGGUCAGGGUGAAACCCAUGAUUUAUGCGUGGUUUGAACCUUGGUUCAGCGAGAAGGGUUAAGUCGUCACAAGGUA
rnacentral:rRNA from 1 species